rnacentral:rRNA from 1 species
UACGAAGGGGGCUAGCGUUGCUCGGAAUUACUGGGCGUAAAGCGCACGUAGGCGGCUUUGUAAGUUAGAGGUGAAAGCCCAGGGCUUAACUCUGGAAUUGCCUUUAAGACUGCAUCGCUAGAAUCGUGGAGAGGUGAGUGGAAUUCCGAGUGUAGAGGUGAAAUUCGUAGAUAUUCGGAAGAACACCAGUGGCGAAGGCGACUCACUGGACACGUAUUGACGCUGAGGUGCGAAAGCGUGGGGAGCAAACAGG